AAGCAGUUGAUCAUUACCUGUCACAGUAUACAAAACACCUAUCUAAUAUUGGGGAAAAUGUAUAUAUUUUCUCAAGCAGCUAUGUGGAUAUAGGUCUUGUUGAAAAUUUGUAACUGAGCUUAUAAUCUUAACAAUUGUUGUGGAACAGUCAGCUGAUAUGUUCUUAUGUGAAUCAUCCACCCAAUUAGCUACAAUGCUUUCCAAGGCCAGUACCAUACCAACAUUGGAGCCGAAAGAGCAUGUGCCAAAUUGGACACAUACAUACGGUAUGAAAAUUUACGUAGAAGAGAAGGGCCCAUCACUCCAGAGUCUAGGAAAGUUGGGUAAAUGUAAUCUUUUUAUGGAAAAAUGCAAAACCAGUCAGCCAUCAACCCUAACAGAGGGGCUAGCGCUCUUUAUCUCUAAUGUAUAAUCCUUUUAUUUGGCGUUGUUGCCAUGCCGCUAUAGCUGGUCUUUUGCUGUUCUCCUUUUCCUGUAAUCAGUUGUACUUGGUUUUCUCUACCCUCAUAUCAAUGAAAAUGCAGCGU